rnacentral:rRNA from 1 species
CUGCCCCUGUCAGGGGGACAACCCGCCGAAAGGCGGGCUAAACCCGCGUACAUGCCACCGGGGCAUCCCGGAGGCAGGAAAGGCUUCGGCCGGACAGGGAUGGGCAUGCGGCGCAUUAGGCAGUAGGCGGGGUAACGGCCCACCUAACCGACGAUGCGUAGGGGUUCUGAGAGGAAGGUCCCCCACACUGGUACUGAGACACGGACCAGACUCCCACGGGAGGCAGCAGUGAGGAAUAUUGGUCAAUGGUCGGGAGACUGAACCAGCCAAGCCGCGUGAGGGAUGAAGGUACAGAGUAUCGUAAACCUCUUUUGUCAGGGAACAAAGGCGGGGACGUGUCCCCGGAUGAGUGUACCUGAAGAAAAAGCAUCGGCUAACUCCGUGCCAGCAGCCGCGGUAAUACGGAGGAUGCGAGCGUUAUCCGGAUUUAUUGGGUUUAAAGGGUGCGCAGGCGGUCUGUUAAGUCAGCGGUCAAAGCCCGGGGCUCAACCCCGGCCCGCCGUUGAAACUGGCAGUCUCGAGUUGGAGAGAAGUAUGCGGAAUGCGCGGUGUAGCGGUGAAAUGCAUAGAUAUCGCGCAGAACUCCGAUUGCGAAGGCAGCAUGCCGGCUCCACACUGACGCUGAGGCACGAAAGCGUGGGUAUCGAACAGGAUUAGAUACCCUGGUAGUCCACGCAGUAGACGAUGA